rnacentral:rRNA from 1 species
AACGAACGCUGGCGGCAGGCCUAACACAUGCAAGUCGAGCGCCCCGCAAGGGGAGCGGCGGACGGGUGAGUAACGCGUGGGAACGUACCCUUUGCUACGGAAUAGCCUCGGGAAACUGGGAGUAAUACCGUAUGUGCCCUUCGGGGGAAAGGAUUUAUCGGCAAAGGAUCGGCCCGCGUUGGAUUAGGUAGUUGGUGGGGUAAUGGCCUACCAAGCCGACGAUCCAUAGCUGGUUUGAGAGGAUGAUCAGCCACACUGGGACUGAGACACGGCCCAGACUCCUACGGGAGGCAGCAGUGGGGAAUCUUAGACAAUGGGCGCAAGCCUGAUCUAGCCAUGCCGCGUGAGCGAUGAAGGCCUUAGGGUUGUAAAGCUCUUUCAGUGGGGAAGAUAAUGACUGUACCCACAGAAGAAGCCCCGGCUAACUCCGUGCCACGCAGCCGCGGUAAUGCACGACUGU